ensembl:lncRNA LINC02895 long intergenic non-protein coding RNA 2895
GCAUGCGAUUUAAAAAAAUUGUUCUGGUAAUACUCUGUUCAACACUACAAGUAAUUCUGCAUCAAGAGAAAGCUCCAAAUAUUCUAACAACCAUUCAGCAUUUCCAAUGAUCUUAGAUCCACGCUUGGUGCGAAAACUGAAAACGAGAGAAAGGAAACGCUGUGGCCAGGUCCAUCUGAUACUGUGAAAUAUUUCUUAUCUUGAUUUUCUCCUGGAUAAGAUCCUGGAGCUUGAAACCAAAGGCAAAACUCCUAUCUGUGGGCUUCUCAUAUUGUCUCAUCUCUAAAAGCACAUCCAAUCCUGACACUACUAAGAGAAAUGAGAAAGCUAUCUCUGUACUUUCGACGGAACCAAUCUUAGAGUAAUUGUCUGGAGAUUAUGGAACCUAUUGCCUCUGAAUAAUUGAGUAACAGAGUGAAUCAUAUCACUUGAAGGUGUUUGGACUCGGACUGCAACCAUACCAUUGACUCUCCUGGGUUUCCAGCUUGCUGACUACAUCUCUUGGACUUUACCUCCAUAAUCACAUGAGCCAAUUCCUUACAGUAAAUCUUUCUUUCUCUCAGUACAGAUAUAGAUAUAGAUAUAUAUCCUGUUGGUUCUGUUUCUCAGGAGAACUCAGACUAAUAUACUCCCUUAGUCAUGCAAUCAUCAUAAGCUAUUUGGCAUGACAGCAUCCUGAAUGGAUUGCUAUUUGAACUAAGGAAAGGGUCAGCUCUUAAACAGGGCAAUCAACCAGGGAGCUAGUUUUGCUGUGUCAACAGGGUUAAGGCACUUCGUGGGAGCAAAAGAAGCUCCAAAGAAAUGCCAAAUGCAGAACUAAUUACCUAUUACUUAAAUAGUAACUGAUGGUUUGCCAGUCAUAGGAGUGCAGGCCUUUUUGUCUCUCUGAAUAUCUAGUUGACCAUUUGCUAGAGAGAAGUACUUGCUUGGACUCAUGCUUACUGCAUCCAUGUCUUUUCCAUGCCUCUCUCAAUUUGUAAAACAAAUGGCCUCUAGGUUUCUGGUCAUAUAUUUAGAGACUUAAGAGCAAGAUACUCCCUUACAUUUAAAACACAGAAAAACUUGGUGUUGUCUCAUUAGGACAAUAAAAUCUUUGUGCCUGAUUAUAUUGUUCAAAAUGGCCAAAGCAGUAUCUCCACUCCUACAUGCUCUUAUAGAACCAGGCUACUUUGCAUUAAGAGAUGGAGUUUAUUUCCCCUCUCCUUGAACCUGAGUAGGCUUGUCACUUCUCCAGCCAGUAGGGUAUAACAGAAGUGAUGCUGUGUGACUUCUGAAGCUAGGUCAUAGAAAGGAUACGGCUUCCGCCUGGCUAUCUCUUUUGGAAUGCAGCCAUAGUAUUGUGAAGAAGCCAAGGUCACAUGGAGGGCCCAUGUAUAGAUGUUCCAGUCAACAGCUAUUAAGUUCCCAGCCGACAGCUAGCAUUAAUUGUGAGUGAAUAGGCCUUCAGAUGAUUCCAGCUUCCAGCCUUCAAUUCUUUCAGUAUCAGACAUCUUGGAGCAAAUACAAACCAUUCUUUCUGUGCCUGUCCAAAUUUCUGACCUACAGAUCUAUGAGCA